rnacentral:rRNA from 1 species
GAUGAACGCUAGCUACAGGCUUAACACAUGCAAGUCGAGGGGCAGCGCAGUGUAGCAAUACAUGGGCGGCGACCGGCGCACGGGUGCGUAACGCGUAUCCAACCUUCCCGUUACUCAGGGAUAGCCUUCCGAAAGGGAGAUUAAUACCUGAUGGUGUUUGAAUUCCGCAUGUUAUUCAAACUAAAGAUUUAUCGGUAACGGAUGGGGGUGCGUGACAUUAGAUAGUAGGCGGGGUAACGGCCCACCUAGUCUACGAUGUCUAGGGGUUCUGAGAGGAAGGUCCCCCACACUGGAACUGAGACACGGUCCAGACUCCUACGGGAGGCAGCAGUGAGGAAUAUUGGUCAAUGGGCGAAAGCCUGAACCAGCCAAGUCGCGUGAAGGAUGAAGGUUCUAUGGAUUGUAAACUUCUUUUGUCUGAGGGUAAAAAAAGCGGACGUGUCCGUUCUUGCAAGUAUCAGACGAAUAAAGCAUCGGCUAACUCCGUG